AAGGCGGCCUAGGGACGCAGGCAGGCUCGGCCGCCUCUUCAGGCCACGGAGCCGCCAGAUCUGGGUCCCGGGUGACCACUCUGUCGCCAUUGGGCGAGACCUACCUAGUCCUAACGACAACGGACAAAGGCCUUAACGGGCCUGGGAGGUGAGCGAAGUCCCGAACGACGACGGGUGGAACGGUUAGCGGCGAUCGGGCGGUUGGUCUCCGUACUACCAGACCUUGCUGUCGGAAGAGACAAAUGGUAGAAUGACAGGCCACGUUUGGCCCGUUGGAAAUGCCCUCCAUCCUCUGGGAAGAUUCACAGGCCGUUUACGGAAGGCCUGUGUAUAUAAUAUGAAAAAGCUGCUCUCAACUCCACCCCAACCUUUUAAUAGAAAACAUUUGUCACAUCUAGCCCUUCUAGAUGGAAAGAGGUUGCCGACGUAUGAUAGAGUUAGAAAGUCACACAUCUUGUAAAUUCUCAUUUGUUUAAAAGAAAUCAUAGAAAAUACAUGUCUUCCGGAGUUGACUUUUGGAAACUGAGUUGUUAGACGGCCUCUAGAAGCGAUACGUUCACGUUUGUUCAGUGGGUUAGAUGACAUGGAGCUCGAAGACCUGAGAAGGAAAAAAAGAAGGUUCUAUGCUAGACUGGUCAUAUUUAGAAGACAUUUUCAUAUUCUAUCCAUUGUUUUGUGUGCAUUCGCUUCCUCACUACUAUGUAUGUAGUUGACAAUGCUAAGCUUUUUUGAAAUGUCUAUUCUUUUUAGAUAUUCUGAAGUGUCUGAUAUAUGUUAAAAUUAGAGGUAGUAAAACCACAUUUUGUAAAUAUCUUUUUGUUACAAUUCAUAGAAAUGUUGUUUUUUGGGGGGAAUGGCCAAAUCACCUGUUGAGUAAUACUCAUUGUGUUUGUGCAGAGAGCUCUAUGCCAUCCUGCUUACAGCGAGGCAAGAUGAAUCACUAUGUCUGUGCAUUUUGUUUUAUCUAUGUAUAUAAUGUACAUAAAGGACAAACGAGUCCUAAUUUACAACAUCUAGUCUUUCUGGAUGUUAAAGAGGUUGCCAGUGUAUAACAAAACUAGAGUUAGUAAACUAAUAUAUUUUGUACAUUUUGUUUUACAAGUCCUAGGAAAGACUGUCUUCUGAAAAUUUGAGCAUUCUUGCCCACUGGGUUGAUGGAGAUGGGAAGGGUUCUAGGCCAGAAUGUUCACAUUUGGAAGACUCUUUCAAAUUAUAACUGUUGUUACAUGUUUGCAGUUUAUUCGAGACUGCUGUGUACAUACAUAGUGGACAAAUUAACUCCUUACUUGAAACAUUUAGACUAUCUAGAUGUUUAGAAGUGCCCGAUGUAUAUUAAAUGUAGAGGUAGUAAAAUACCAAUUUGUAAAUAUCUUUUUGCUAAAAUUCAUAGGAAAUACUUUUGGAAGUUGAAUUGUGAAGCCACCUUUGUGAGCAGUAUAUUACUGUCUAUACUUGCUCAAUGGUUUAGAGGAGGUGGGAGGGAAGAAAUUGCAAAAGAUAAUAUGCUAGUGUGUUCAUACUUGGACAUUUUCAGACACCAUUUUUCUGUAUGUUUUGUGCAUUUUGUUUUGCUCUGUAUAUAGUGUAUAUAAUGGACAAAUAGUCUUAAUUUUUUAACAUCUAGAGGUUGCCAGUGUAUGACAAAGUAGUAAAAUUAGCAUAUUUUGUAUGCUUUGUGUUGAAAUUCAUAGGAAAACUUGUCUUCUGUAAUUGACUUUUGCAUAGGAAUUUGUUCAGCCAUCUCUAAGCAUUACACAUGCGUGUACUUGUCCACUGAAUUGAAGGCAGAGAAGGAAGAGAAGAGGGAAUGAUUCAAGGCCAAAAUGGUCACAUUUAGAAGAUACCUUAGAUGAUAACCAUUGUUAUGUGUGUGCAGUUUUAUUUAACAGUGCCGUGUACAUGGUGGACAGGCUAUGAAAUAUCUAGUCUUUAGAUAUUUGGAAGUGCUUGAUGUAUUUUAAAGUAGUAGUAGUAGAAUAACACUUUUUGUAAAUAGCUUUUAAAAACUGAUGGGAAAUGCUGUUUGGAAGUGGAUUUGUUGAACCACCUGGGAGGUGGGAGGGAAAAAAUUGCAAAAGGUGUUUUGCCAUUGUUUAUUAGAAAAUUUCAGCUUAAUCCAUUGCCUAUAUGUUACAAGCAUUUCAUUUAACUUUGCUAUACUGUAUAUAUUGUGUAUAUACUGGACAAAUGAGUCCUGAUUUUAUAAUAUCUAGUCUGUAGCUAUUAAAGAGGUUGCCAGUGUAUGACAAAAGUAGUUAGUAAACUAACGCAUUUUGUACACUUUGUUAAAAUUCAUAGAGAGGCUGUCUUCUGAAAAGGACUUUUUGGAAGUGAAAUGAUAACAUCAGCUCGAAGUGACACAUGUGCUUAUAUCCACCAGGUUGGUGGUGGAGAGGAGUUGGAAGGAAUGAAGGGUUCUAGACCAGAAUGUUCCUAUUUAGAAGACACUUUCAGAUAUAACCAUUGUUACAUGUGUGUAGUUUAUUCAACAGUGCUAUGUAUAUAGUGGACACACUUAAGUCCUUAUUUGAAAUAUCUAGUCUUUCUAGAUGUUUAGAAGUGCACAAAGCAUGUUAAAAGUAGAGGUAGUAAGUAACACAUUUUGUAGUUAUUUUGAUAUGAAAUAUUGUCUUGGAAAUUGAUCAAUUCUCUGAGAAGUACACGUUAUGAUAUUUGUGCUGGUUCAGGGGGAAGAAGGAGCACAAAGUUCAAAGGGCUUUCUACCAGUGUCCAGUGUGUUUAUGAUGAGGCACAUUGACCAUUGUCCCUUAUGUCUGCAUUUUCGUUUACUGUGCUGUGUAUAUAAGCAGACAUAGGAGUCCUAAUUUAUAUCUAGUCGAUGUUAAAGAGGUUGCCAGUGUAUGGCAAAAGUAGAGUUAGUAAACUAAUACAUUGAGUACACUUUGUGUUAAAAUUCAUAAGGAACACUUCUUAAAAACAGAAGUAAAAUUGUUAAACGCCCCCCGCCCCCAAGCAUUACAGAUGGCUUAUAGCUGUCAACGGGGUUGGUAGAGGUCAGAAAGGGAAGUGUUCUAGGCCAGAAUGUUCCUAUUUAGAAGACACUCAAAUUAUAGUCUAUGUUAUGUAUAUAUGCCAUUUAUUCAAUACUACUGUGUAUAUAAUGGAAAACUUAAGUGCAGUUUGAAACAUCUAGUCUUUCUAGGUGUUUAAAAGUGCACAAUGGUCAGGUGCGGUGGCUCACUCCUGUAAUCCUGGCACUUUGGGAGGCUGAGGUGGGCAGAUCACGAAGUCAAGGGAUCGAGACUAUCUUGGCCAACAUGGUGAAACCCCAUCUCUACAAAAAAUACAAAAAUUAGCUGGUCGUGGUGGCACAUGCCUGUAGUCCCAGCUACUCGGGAGGCUGAGGCAGGAGAAUCGCUUGAGCCCGGGAGACAGAGGUUGCAGUAAGCCGAGACCACACCACUGCACUCCAGCAUGGCGACAGAGCAAGACUCCAUCUCAAAAAAAAAAAAAAAAAAAAAUUCCACAACAUAGGUUAAAAGUAGAGGGCUAAAGUAACACCCCUCUAAGCAUUUGUUUUCAGUACUUCCUAGGAGUGGUUGCAUUUGGGAAUGGAAUUGUUAAAACUUGAUGCUUAGGAGCGUAUGCUGACUAUUCACUGCGUGGUGGGGUGGGGAGGAGGAGGAGGUAUGCAGGGAGAAGGGUUCUGUGCCCCUGAGUUAGAUUAGUUCAGAUGGUCUAACCAUUGUUCUAUGUAUGCAUUUUAUUGUGUUAAUAUUGUGUAUUAAAGGAUAAACAAGUCUUAAUGCUCAAAGUAUGUUAAAAAUAGAUGUAGUGAAUCAGUCCCUUUGUGAAUGUCCUAUUGUUAGUUUUUAGGAAGGCCUGUCUUCUGGGAGUGACCUUUAUUAGUCCACUUCUUGGAGCUAGACGUCCUAUACUUAGUCACUGGGGAUGGUGAAAGAGGGAGAAGAGGAAGGGCGAAGGGAAGGGCUCUUUGCUAGUAUCUCCAUUUCUAGAAGAUGGUUUUAGAUGAUAACCACAGGUCUAUAUGAGCAUUUUUAGUAAAGUGCCUGUGUUUAUUGUGGACAGAGUUUAUUAUUUUGCAACAUCUAACCUUUAUGAAUAUCUGAGGUGACAAUGUGUGAUAAAAACUAGAGCUAGUGGGCCAGGCGCGGUGGCUCAUGCCUGUAAUCCCAACAUUUUGGGAGGCUGAGGCAGGCAGAUCACAAGGUCAAGAGAUCGAGACCAUCCUGGUCAACAUGGUGAAACCCCAUCUCUACUAAAAAUACAAAAAUUAGCUGGGCGUGGUGGCGCGUGCCUGUAGUCCCAGCUUCUCAGGAGGCUGAGGCAGGAGAAUCACUUGAACCUGGGAGGCGGAGGUUGCAGUGAGCCAAUAUUGCGCCACUGCACUCCAGCCUGGGCAACACAGCAAGACUCCAUCUCAAAAAAAAAAAAACUAGAGCUAGUGAAUUAGCCAAUUUGUAAAUACCUUUUUAUAAGUGAUAGAAAAGAUGCAUCUUGGACAUGGAAUUGUUAAACCGCCUCUGAGCAGUAUAUGUCAGGACUUGUUCAUUAGGUUGGCAGCAGAGGGGCAGAAGGAAGUAUACAGGGAGAGAUGUAUGCAGAUGUGUCCAUAUGUGUCCAUAUUUACAUUUUGAUGAUAGCCAUUGAUGUAUGCAUCUCUUUUGGCUGUACUAUAGGAAUACAUUAAGUAAUUCAAUGGAAAUAUACCUUGCUAAUAUUAUAAUGGUAUAGCUCUGUUAAUGAAUUCUCUUAGAAACAUUAUACUUAAUGUAUUCUGUUGCUGUAUGUUUCAUUUUAAUUGAGCAUUAAGGGAAUGCAGCAUUUAAAUCAGAACUCUGCCAAUGCUUUUAUCUAGAGGCGUGUUGUCAUUUUUGUCUUCUAUGAAAUUUUUGUCCCAAGAAAGGUAGGACUACAUUUUUUUUUAACAGAUUAAGUUGGUGUAGUGUAUUCUUGUUUAUCAAAAUACUAAUAAAGCUUUGGGAUUUUGAAUUGGUAAAUAUUCAUGAUGUGUCAAAAAUCAUGAUACAUACUGUACAAUCUCAGUCCCAUAAGAUGGGAUGUUGUGCCUACACACACACAGGACCUAGAAGAACAUGUCAAACUGUAAACUGCUUGUGAUUGUGAAUGACUUUGUUGUUUGCUUCUUGUGAUUUUCAGUUUCCUAUAAUGCACAUAUUAACAUAUUAACUUUUUAAAAUAAAGGUUAU
rnacentral:lncRNA from 10 species